rnacentral:rRNA from 1 species
CUACGUGCCAGCAGCCGCGGUAAUACGUAGGGGGCAAGCGUUAUCCGGAUUUACUGGGUGUAAAGGGAGCGCAGACGGCUCUGCAAGUCUGAAGUGAAAGCCCGCGGCUUAACCGCGGGACUGCUUUGGAAACUGUUUAACUUGAGUGCAAGAGGGGAGAGUGGAAUUCCAUGUGUAGCGGUGAAAUGCGUAGAUAUAUGGAGGAACACCGGUGGCGAAAGCGGCUCUCUGGCUUGUAACUGACGCUGAGGCUCGAAAGCGUGGGGAGCAAACAGGAUUAGAUACCCUGGUAGUCCACGCCGUAAACGAUGAGUGCUAGGUGUUAGACCCUUUCCGGGGUUUAGUGCCGUAGCUAACGCAUUAAGCACUCCGCCUGGGGAGUACGGUCGCAAGAUUAAAACUCAAAGGAAUUGACGGGGACCCGCACAAGCGGUGGAUGAUGUGGAUUAAUUCGAUGCAACGCGAAGAGCCUUACCUGGUCUUGACAU